GCCUUUGAUACCCUUGCAAAUGUAACGUUUCCCUGUUGGAUAUACAUAUGUUCAUAUAUGUAUGCACUAUUCCAACGAUUUUAAUACGAUGGCAUAGGAACAGACAGACUGAUACUCGUGGACGGACAUGAAUUAUCAGAAAUUGUGCAUAUGUACACUAUUAAGGACCCCACACAAACAGCUUUUGUCAGGGAAGCGACAGAGACGGCAAGAGAGAGAGAGAAGGUACAACCGCAAACAGAGUCGCUGCGUCAUUGACGUCGAUAGCGACCGCAGCAGAGGCAACGCGAAACAAUUGCCGGCCAUUGUUGUCGCCGACGUUCGACCACGUCAAUAUUGUCGUUACCCUAACUUAAACCUCAAACAGUCGGCAUAAGCGAACUGAGAUGAUACGCCACAUAUGGUAAAUCAUAUGCGACACUUUCCCUCCACAGUUCCAUUAAAGUGAGCAAUUUAAUGGAAAACGAGAGCUGUGGUUAAAUUUAAAUAUGUAUUACAUUUUUUUAGUAUUAAAUAUUACAAAGA